CAGAUAUAGCUUGGAUGGAAUUGGUGAGUCUCCCUACUUAUUUACAUUCCUAAAAAUGUCCAUUGUUGUAUGGAGUAGUUGGUUCGGUGCAUGAACCCCCUAUAUAGGCACUAGAGGCACUUCUUCCUUUGGGAGGUAUAACUACACCAUUACCAGGCUUUUUAAUCCCCAAACAAUUCUACAAUUUUUGGGUCACUCCUAUGAAAAUGAAUGCAUUAAGCCAUUUACACACGCUUUAUUGUAAAUUCUUGUGUGUGCAGCCAGACUACCCUCUUCACAAGCAUAUUUGCAAUCUCAACUGUCUGUACCUAUUAUUUUGAAAUUCCAAAAAAAGAAAAAAAGGUAUUGAAAUUUCAAAAUGUUCAACAAGAAAUGACUGGAAAUAAUGUGUCCUAGAGGGCUAAAAUGUCUUCUGAUCUAAUAGACAAAUCUUGUUAAUCAGAGAGCUCUUGUUACUGUUGGUUGAAGCUUCUGUAAAUGGGCUUCCUUCUCAUUUUUCAAUUUUUUUUACACCCACAUUUUAUUUGGUUCCAAAAUGAUGUAGACUGAAGUGAUAUAGAAGGAUUUAAUAUCGCAACUGGUAAUAGAAAUUUGAGUGCUAAAUAAAGCUAAAUGGAGGGAAAGGAGCCUUAUAGCCAACUCCAACAAGUUUGGGAUUAAUGCUUUGUUCAGCUGAGUUGAGUUUUAUUAUGUUUCUUGGGGUCCCUCAUGUUUUUUUAAUUCUUUAAUAACAUUUGAUUAUCAAAUAAGAGAGCAUUACAAUCCUCCACUAAUUUGUAUUAUAUUAGGCUUGCACCUUUUGGAUUUUAGUUAUAUUUGAUUUGUUUAACCUUUAAUGGAGUAAAGGAAAAAUUAACUUGCAAGAAAAAUUUUAAAUGGACAAGUAGGUUCAGAAAGAUUUUUUUUUCUUAAUAUUAAAUCUUUUGGUUUACCUUUGAUAUUACCCUGUCAGGUGGUUAAGCUUUUAGCAUUCCAUCAAAGUCUGAUAAUCUGAUGAGCAUUUGUUUUUUUAUUUCUUAUUUUUUCCCUAUAUAUAUAUAUAUAUUAUGUAGGACUCUAAGCUGGAUGUGACUAU
rnacentral:misc_RNA from 1 species